rnacentral:rRNA from 1 species
CUUUUAUGGAGAGUUUGAUCCUGGCUCAGGACGAACGCUGGCGGCGUGCCUAAUACAUGCAAGUCGAGCGGAGUUAUUCCUUCGGGGAUAACUUAGCGGCGGACGGGUGAGUAACACGUAGGUAACCUGCCUGUAAGACCGGGAUAACAUUCGGAAACGAAUGCUAAUACCGGAUACGCGAGUUGGUCGCAUGGCCGACUCGGGAAAGACGGAGCAAUCUGUCGCUUACAGAUGGACCUGCGGCGCAUUAGCUAGUUGGUGAGGUAA